UCGGCGAGAUGACCAAGA
rnacentral:snRNA from 1 species